UACGGGGGGGGGCAAGCGUUGUUCGGAAUUACUGGGCGUAAAGGGCUCGUAGGCGGCCAACUAAGUCGGACGUGAAAUCCCCAGCUCAACCUGGGAACUGCGUCCGAUACUGGAUGGCUUGAAUCCGGGAGAGGGAUGCAGAAUUCCAGGUGUAGCGGUGAAAUGCGUAGAUAUCUGGAGGAAUACCGGUGGCGAAGGCGGCAUCCUGGACCGGCAUUGACGCUGAGGAGCGAAAGCCAGGGGAGCAAACGGG
rnacentral:rRNA from 1 species